rnacentral:lncRNA from 1 species
UUAAAUUCAAGAUAAUAAUACAAAAAUCAUUCUCUGCAUAUUCUAUUUUUCUUUCAAGUUUUUGUAGAUAUUAACAUGGUAAACGUCGGACAACAAUGAUUGACAGAGGCAGCAACAUAUUCACUUGAUUAUUGAAGGUUAUGAAUUGACUAGUUUUUUUUGGAGGGAACGUUACCUGUUCUGCCGCAUUUUGUGCCGUCUUCGGAGGGAUCUCUAGUUCCAAAUCCGGAUGCCUCAGCAUUAGUUCAGCAGGACAGGUUACUUGCCUCUUUCUGGUUAUUUUCUACUAUUAGUCCUUCACUGUUGUCUUCUUUUACAUAUGCUAGGAUGGCGUGCGAUGUUUGGAACACUGCCACUUGCCUUUUCACUGCCGUCACAGGUGUCAAGUUAUCUUGCAUUCGCCAUGAUUUACAUUCGCUUAAGAAAGGUAAUCUGUCGAUAAAGGAGUAUGUAGUAAAGAUUUAGAAUACCUGUGCUUUAAUCGAGGCUUGUCGAUCUUGGAUCUCGGAGAAAGAGAAAGUGGAGAUCGUACUUGUGGGCCUACCACCGGAGUUCAACGCCAUGCUCACCUUAGUGUCAUUCUUGUCGGAAGCCUUACCGUUACAACACCUCAUAGAUGAGUUGUUGGAGUAUGGAAGUCGCUAAAUUCGCGUGGUUCAGGAGGUGCCAUUUCAUGCUAACCUUUUGGAGACUAUUCCGUCACCGCCGGUGGAGGACUCUGUGUGUGGUGGCCGUCCCCUACUGGUGGUUGUGGGAAGAGGUUUUGAUCCAAACUCCAAUGUUAGAUCUGUGGUCAGUUUGGGCAUUUAGCUCAACAUUUUUAAUAUUGUCAUAAUCGCGACUAUAGUGGUCUGACAUUAGUGGCCUGGGCUUCAAAUUCGACCGAUCGUACUAGGCAGGGUUCGGAUGCUGGUUUCUCGUUUCUAUCGCCCGUCUCUAGUCAGUUUGGUGGCCUUUCGUAGACGGCGUCGUCACGAUUUCUUUCUGGUAAAUGGUAGGGUGGUCACUUGUCUGCUGCGCCUCCCCUGUAUAUGUCAUACACUAGGGUUUUUAACCCUUUUUUUGCGUUUGAUGAUGGAGCAGGUCUACCGCUUGGGCAUUAUGCUGGGUUAAGCCAACCAUUUGGGCUUGGUCAUGAGCAGCGGUUUGAGCCUGGUCAUGAGGCAGUUCACUGGGUUAGGUCCGUAUUUUGGGCUUGUAACUGGGUUCACUAGGCCAUUGGCCAAAAUCUUGGGCCGUCUGUGUGUGCUAGGCCAUCUGGCCCAUGCUAGGACUUUAGGGGUGAUUUUUCUCCAGUUGGGUCCACUGCUAAUGUUUCUCCAAAUGGGCCGACAUUUAAUUGUGUGGAGUUUGCAAGCCCUCGUGGUCGUGUACGAGGGCUUGAGCCUUCAGAUGGUGGUGUUUGUACUAUGUUUGGGUCAUAUAAUGGGUUGUGUAUUCCCUGGCGGACAAAAAUAAGAGCUCAUGUUUAUAUUGGGUCAGAUUCAUGCGUUGGAUUGCCUCGAAUACCUGAUUUACAUGCGUCUAAUGUCUCUAACUCUACUGGGUCUAAUAUUAAUGCCACUCAUUUUGGGUCCAAUUUUGAUAAUGAUGAUUCGUAUAUUCCUAUACCUAUAGGAACUUCGUCUUGGUAUCUGGAUUCAGGGGCAAUGCACCAUGUUUGUCGAGAUGCCUCUGCUUUGAAUGAGUCUACACCAUACUCAAGUACAUUCCCUCUCUUAAUAGGUUAUGGGACUCCUAUGCCUGUAGGAACUUCACUUAUUUUUUAUGUAAAUUUUUAUAAAUAUAUUUGUUACGUAAUUAUGUUAUUUGAAUGUGCUAGUGUCACGGGCCAAAGUCUAAAGCCCGUGACCAUGACACAAGAUGUGCCCCAUGGAGGUCUAUCGAUUAAAUGGGG